rnacentral:rRNA from 1 species
ACUCCUACGGGAGGCAGCAGUGGGGAAUAUUGCACAAUGGGGGAAACCCUGAUGCAGCGACGCCGCGUGGAGGAUGACGGCCUUCGGGUUGUAAACUCCUUUUGUCAGGGACAAUGGUGAUGGUACCUGACGAAUAAGCCACGGCUAACUCUGUGCCAGCAGCCGCGGUAAGACAGAGGUGGCGAGCGUUGUUCGGAAUUACUGGGCUUAAAGGGCGCGUAGGCGGUGGUGUAAGUCUGGGGUGGAAUGCUACAGCUCAACUGUAGAGCUGCCUUGGAAACUGCAUUACUUGAGUCGGUGAGGGGAAGGCGGAAUUCCUGGUGUAGCGGUGAAAUGCGUAGAUAUCAGGAGGAAGGUCUGUGGCGAAGGCGGCCUUCUGGCACUUGACUGACGCUGAGGCGCGAAAGCGUGGGGAGCAAACAGGAUUAGAUACCCUGGUAGUC